rnacentral:rRNA from 1 species
AACAAACGCUGGCGGCGUGCAUAGCACAUGCAAGUCUAACGGGAAUGUUGGCUUCGGCUGACUAGUACCGUGGCGAACGGGUGAGUAACACGUGGGUAAUCUGACCUCGAGUUUGGGAUAACCUUGCGAAAGCGGGGCUAAUACCGAAUAAGACCACGCCUUGUCCGCAGGGCGCGGUAAAAGGUGGCCUCUUCUUGAAAGCUAUCACUUGAGGAUGAGCCCGCGGCCUAUUAGCUAGUGGGGGGGGUAAUGGCCUACCAAGGCGACGAUGGGUAGCCGGCCUGGGAGGGUGUACGGCCACACUGGCACUGAGAUACGGGCCAGACUCCUACGGGAGGCAGCAGUGGGGAAUUUUGCGCAAUGGGGGAAACCCUGACGCAGCAACGCCGCGUGAGUGAUGAAGGCCUUCGGGUCGUAAAGCUCUUUUAGUGGGGAUGAAUCCCUUUCGGGCUAAUACCUCGGGAGGAUGACGGUACCCACAGAAAAAGUUCCGGCUAACUACGUGCCAGCCGCCGCCGUAACAC